rnacentral:rRNA from 1 species
GACGAACGCUGGCGGCGUGCCUAACACAUGCAAGUCGAACGGAAAGGCCCUGCUUUUGUGGGGUGCUCGAGUGGCGAACGGGUGAGUAACACGUGAGUAACCUGCCCUUGACUUUGGGAUAACUUCAGGAAACUGGGGCUAAUACCGGAUAGGAGCUCCUGCUGCAUGGUGGGGGUUGGAAAGUUUCGGCGGUUGGGGAUGGACUCGCGGCUUAUCAGCUUGUUGGUGGGGUAGUGGCUUACCAAGGCUUUGACGGGUAGCCGGCCUGAGAGGGUGACCGGCCAAAUUGGGACUGAGAUACGGCCCAGACUCCUACGGGAGGCAGCAGUGGGGAAUAUUGCACAAUGGGCGGAAGCCUGAUGCAGCAACGCCGCGUGCGGGAUGACGGCCUUCGGGUUGUAAACCGCUUUCGCCUGUGACGAAGCGUGAGUGACGGUAAUGGGUAAAGAAGCACCGGCUAACUACGUG